rnacentral:lncRNA from 1 species
ACCCCCAUUGCGUGAGCUUCCAUUCUUCUUUGGAACUAUAAAGCUUGUUGACCUUGCAUCUGUUGUGGUUUUUGUUGUGCUUGUGGUUGGUAGAAUCCUUCAUCAUGUCCAGCUUGAUUGUCUUCUUGAUCAUUUUGAGCAGCGUCUCCUUGAUGCAUGUUUUGCAGCCUUCUUAUGGCGAAGUGUUAAGAGGUUCUUUCAGACU